GAUGAACGCUGGCGGCGUGCUUAACACAUGCAAGUCGAACGGUGAAGCCAAGCUUGCUUGGUGGAUCAGUGGCGAACGGGUGAGUAACACGUGAGCAACCUGCCCUGGACUCUGGGAUAAGCGCUGGAAACGGCGUCUAAUACUGGAUAUGAGCUUUCACCGCAUGGUGGGGGUUGGAAAGAUUUUUCGGUCUGGGAUGGGCUCGCGGCCUAUCAGCUUGUUGGUGAGGUAAUGGCUCACCAAGGCGUCGACGGGUAGCCGGCCUGAGAGGGUGACCGGCCACACUGGGACUGAGACACGGCCCAGACUCCUACGGGAGGCAGCAGUGGGGAAUAUUGCACAAUGGGCGGAAGCCUGAUGCAGCAACGCCGCGUGAGGGAUGACGGCCUUCGGGUUGUAAACCUCUUUUAGCAAGGAAGAAGCGAAAGUGACGGUACUUGCAGAAAAAGCGCCGGCUAACUACGUGCCAGCCGCCGCCGUAACAC
rnacentral:rRNA from 1 species